CUUGAUGAAAUAUGUGAGACCAGGUGAAAGUGGUGGAUCAGUAGCUCUUAUGCAUGAGAUCAAGCGUGAUCUAAAUGCUUACUUCUCCAACUUGCUUAAAUCCCUAGUCAGGUCAUUAGCUGAUGUCAUUGCCUAUAAUAAAGAACAUGCAACAGAGGCAAGUAUUCAUGUCAUUAGACCUUUGUCACUUAUUUCUUUACUAGUUUCUUUACCCACGACACAGAAGCAGCCUGUGUCCGUCAUGAUAUUCUGCACACAUGAACCGCUGCCGUAUGAAUUGUUCAACAACUUGAUCGUAUUUACAUCAAUACAGUGUUGUUGCUUUUAUUGUUGUCUAUUAAUACUUAUAGUAUUAGUAUUAUCAAAUCUUGGUUGUCUAAGAUACUGAAUUCUACUCACAUAGAUUGCUGUUUGGAGAACAUUUCAGGGAAAUGAGUUAUAUGAUAAACCCUGUCUGGAUUCAAAAACUUUUUCAUUUUGUAAUUUAUUCUUAAAGUAGUUCUAGGAAAUAUAUACUAUAUCUAAUAACCUGUUUGAAGUUUAUAACCUUUUGAUAGCUUCCUGCAGGCAAUACAAUUUCUUAGCAUCAAAUCGGUUGGUUAUCUGAGGAAAAUUGUGCAUCAGAAUACAAUUAUACUACUUUACACUAUAAACAGUUUUCACAAAGAUAAUAGGGGACUAAAAAAGAAAGGUUCAAUACGA